rnacentral:tRNA from 1 species
GCCUGGGUGGCUCAGUCGGUUGAGCAUCUGACUUCAGCUCAGGUCAUGAUCUCAUGGUUUGUGAGUUCGAGCCCCGCAUCGGGCU